rnacentral:rRNA from 1 species
ACGAACGCUGGCGGCGUGCUUAACACAUGCAAGUCGAACGAAAAUACCAAGCUUGCUUGGUUGAUUAGUGGCGAACGGGUGAGUAACACGUGAGUAACCUGCCCCUUACUUUCCUGGAUAACUGCUCGAAAGGGUAGCUAAUACGGGAUAUUCUGACCAGCCUGCAUGGGUUGGUUUGGAAAGGUUGUUUUUCUGGUAAGGGAUGGGCUCGCGGCCUAUCAGCUUGUUGGUGGGGUGAUGGCCUACCAAGGCUUUGACGGGUAGCCGGCCUGAGAGGGUGGACGGUCACACUGGGACUGAGAUACGGCCCAGACUCCUACGGGAGGCAGCAGUGGGGAAUAUUGCACAAUGGGCGCAAGCCUGAUGCAGCGACGCCGCGUGAGGGAUGAAGGCCUUCGGGUUGUAAACCUCUUUCGUCAGGGAACAAGGCACUGCUUUUUUGGUGGUGUUGAGGGUACCUGGAUAAGAAGCGCCGGCUAACUACGUG